rnacentral:lncRNA from 10 species
ACCGCGCCCGUGCGUCUGCGCGCCUGGCCGCCAGGUGACCCAGCAGCCCGGCCGCCGAGAUGCCCAACCCGCCCAGGCUCCGGGCGCUGUGACUUCGCGCCGCUGUGUGCGCCUCCCCGAGCGCCGGCUGCGCCCCCCAGCCCGGCCCGGGGCCUACCGCCUGCCCGGCCCCCUGCCACUGCCAGGAGGACGGCAUCAUGCUGUCUGCCGACUGCUCUUGAGCUUGGGCUGUCCGCCAUACCGGGGGACCUGGAUCCCCUGACGGCUUACCUGUGAGUACUGCCCGCCUGUCUCCACCUGGUACUGCGGGCUGCUGGCUUGCACCCAGUCCUGGCCUCAGCAGGACACCUGCUUGCUUGGUGCCCUGGGGCGUGGGCAUCCCGGAGAGGGUUCACCCCCUUCCAAGUUGACCGUUGCGGGACUGGGGAGGGGAGAAGAGUCUGAGACUAAAUAUCAGGCGAGCAGGGAGACCAGGCUUCCCUGACUUGGCUUCCCCAUUGGCCUCCGUGCUUGUGGGCUGACUGCGGGAGCCCAGGUUUGGCAAGGUGGGUUCUGGACCCUAAGCGGGAGGGCGCGGGGCUGGCUCCCCCAUCUCCUGUUGCUGCAUUCUCUUCCAGCAGAGCAGUGCCCAGGAUGGUGGCUGAGGGUAAAGCUGACAGAACUGGAGGUGGAGGUGAGGGGAGCGUGCCCCAGUGGGGUGGAAAUAAUGUCUGUUCUUCUGCCAUGGUGAGGACAACAGGGCUGUCACACUGAGGCUGGGUGGCCUUCUUUGGGGGGGGGGUCCCAGAAGCUGGGAGGGGGGCCUUAUCCACUCUUGUCUCCUCAGAAAGGGACUCUGCCAGCACCAUCUCCCUUUACUGGGGCCUCCCGGCUCCCCCAGGGGCCUCCCUAAAGUCAUGUCCCAAGAGGCUGUGUUGGAGACACUAAUUUGUGGGCAGGCGCGGAGGCUGAAAAGCGGAGAACCAUUUUUAGCGUCUGAGUUGGGGUGAGAUGGCCCGUGAAGGGGACCCUAUUGGGGGCAGCUGUCCUGUCCGUCUGGCUCACAGGAGCUUCCCCUCAGAGCUGGAGGGCUGGGGGCUCUCGCUGCUUACCACAUGGGCAGGAGGAGGGUGAGAGAGCACAUUCCAGGCCACCUACCCGCACCCCCAGCCCCGCUCUGGGGAAAGGAGACCUCCUCCAGCCCAGCUCUGCAGGCUCCAUCAACUUCCUCAGAGGAGCUGGGAGCAGGUGGGAAAGCCUGGGGCCUUCUGCUGAGGGCUAGGAUCCCAGAGCUCCUUCUGGCCUGAGAGAGACCCCUCAUGGCUUCUAGCAUGUGGGAGUUCUAGCACGUGGGAGCUUAGAGGAAGAGGACGCUGGGCGAAUCUUUAUAGGGGCCUAGCAAGAAUUUGUGGAACUAAAAGGAUGCUCAGUGUUGGCAGUGUCCUGGUGGGAGGCAGAGGGUCCCAGAUGGCAACUCUUCAUGGGGCUCCUCUCCAAAUGUCCCUGUCCCUAGGUUGGGAUGUCCUCCUCCACUCCAAAAGGCACAGGCUGUGGGCCAGGUAAGGGAGUGAGAAGAGAAAAAUAAUGCCCAUCUUCUAGAAGGACAAAUGGAAUCCUUCACAGUGCAGCAGGUGACGGCGGAGGCAGUCAUGGGAAUAAAGCUACCAACUGCACAGAGGCUGGGUGCUCAGCAUCUGGCAAAGCAGGGCAGGCUCCGGCCCCAGCCCACACCCAGGCCAGCCCUGCUUUCAGCAGUUUUCUAUCCUGGGAGUAUGUGACAUUGGUUCAUUGGAAGACAGGGUCCUGUGGCUAAAGAGUUUAGAUAUGACUUCUGUGGAGCCUUUCUCUGGGUGAGCUGAAGGAAGGUCCCUUGCCUGGGUUGAAGGGGCAGGGGAGAUAAGGCCUUCCAGAGCUUCCUUUCCCAGUGUUAAGUCUUCCUAGACUGAUUAAUGAUCCUUUUUCUAGAAGGACCUGGGGUAGGAGGUACACUGUCACCUUUGGAAUUCAAGCAUCCUACCAUCCAUGCUGGCAGAAGAUUUUCCCACUAACUUGUCACAAUUCCCUGGGAGCUGUGAAGUCUGCAUUUGGGUUCAGUGGAGGAAGUAGCAGGCCAGAGAGGACUCGAAGAUCCUUAGAAGGAGCCAUAGACGGAACCAUAGGAGGCGCCCAGGAGCUAUGGGCUCCAGAAGUUUCCUCCUAAACUGUGGUCUCAGCGAGGCUCAUUGACACUCACCGGGGUUUCGACAUUCUCCCUGGCUAGGGCCUGUUCUGGAAAUAGACCAAGGGGGAGAUGGAGCCCCUGGCCGUGGGACAUCCAAUCUGAUGGUGAUGAGAAGGCAUGAUGCCUCUUGUUCUAUUCUUUUUUGUUUCUUCUUUUUUUUUAAAUAAAAAAGACCAGUAAUGUGCUGACUUCAUAACAAGGUUUGAGGGAGGCACUUCUCACACGUGAGCAUGAAAACCCAAUCGUCACGCUUCUUAACUGCAAAAGGAUCACCUCUUGUUCUAUUGUAUUGCAUGUACACAUGAUGCACAGACAGGAAUACACAGACAGCAAAUAACUUGUUGGGCAGAUAAUCCCCGGAGUUGUUCCUGAGUAGAAAGAUCUGGGUAGUUACUCUGGGCCCCCAAGGCUGAGCAGUGUCAGUAAACAGAUGGUGCCAGAAAAGGUAUCUCACGCAGCUAGUUGUGAAAGACGUCAGGCUCAUGCACUUGCAGUCACACCUAAGCACCCAUUUUCAUAGCCCACUGCCACCAGGGCUGAGGGAGGGGCCGCUACACCAUGCAACCCCCACUUCAGACUGCUGUUUGCUUUCUUGGGAAUUAUAACUUUAAGAUUGCCUGUGAUAACUGAUAACCACUGGACUUGUUUGAAAGGUUAGAUGGUGUGUGCAUGUGUGUCUGUAUGUGCGUGUGUGUCUGUGUGUGUCUGCGUGUUUCUCUGUGUGUGUGUAGAUACAGGGUAAUUUGCAGGGGAUGUCUACAGCCAAAAUGAUGGAGGCAGGAUGCUGGAGGCAGAGAGUAAGGGGUUGUGGCAUUUGCCACAACAAAGCAGAGUUCAAACUAUCACUUACUAGCUAUGUAACCCCCAGCCAGUUGAUUAGCCCUUCUGUGACUUAGUUUCCUCACCUGUAAACAGGGUUAAGAUCUACCUCAUAGGGUUGUUGUGUGGAUUCACUUAGAUGAUGUUUGCAAAGGGUUUGGCAUAAUGUCUGGUACAUGGGAAGAGCUCAAUAAAUGUUAGCCAGUGCUGUUAUUAGGAUAACCAGGGCGAAGAAAUGUCAGUCAUGGAAGUCUUCCUGGAGGAGGAAGUCCUGGAGCUAGCAUGGGAGGGAGGGAAGCAGGCCUAUUCUAUGAAAGGUGUAGGAUAGGUGUGUGUGUAGUUGCGGGCUGUGAGAGGUGCAAGAAGCUGCGAAGAAGAUGGAAUGAGCUCUGCUGGGAACCCAGAGUAAUUUUAGGGUUUUUUUUUUUUGUUUUUUUUUUUUUUAGAAUACAGUCUGAAAAACCAGGGAGGGGAGGGGAGCACCUGAUGGAAGACGCCAGCGUGCUCCCUUACAUGGUCUAGACGGGCCCCUGCAGGGGCUACAGAUGAGGAGGCAGAGAAACAGGCGGCCUUAACAGGGGAGAGCCAGCCUUGGAGAGGAUGUAUUGUGAAUUGGGGGUGGGGGUGCCAACGUGCCAGGUCUCAUUUCUCACUUCCAAGGCCACCCUUCCCUGGCCCAGUCUUAGUCGCCCUUUCUAAUAGAUUCUAAGAGUUUGACUCCUCCUUCCGGAAACUUGGGGUUUGUGAGUUCUAAUCUUCAGUCUCUCAGUUGCUAUGAGACCCUGUGCAAGUCCCAAAACUUCCCUGGACCUCAAUGUCCAGAGAAGCCAUGUUUUGGAUGAAAAACUAGAAAGUGGGAGAGGCAGGGCGCAAUCCUCUUUGAGUCUCCUGCUCCUGGUGUGGGACAGAGAAAGCUCCCAGGGAGAGCUGCUCAGCUGCAGGCAGUGAGGGAAGGGAAGGAGGGAAGGGGAGGACCCAGGCAGCAUCCAGACCAGGGUGGGGAAGAGAACUUAUUCUUAAGCAACUUAUUCUUAAGCAGCUUCCUGUUCUCUUAGCCUUGAACUUGAAGCCAGGAAUAGGGACAGGGAUAGAAGAGCCAAGGCUUGGAGCCGCUGGCCUAUGCAGAUGCACUUGCUUGUCCAGCAACAGUUGGACAGGGCCUGGCCUGGGCAAUGUGCUCCGGGGUGCAUGGAAAAUGUGGUCAUUCUUUGUCCGGGGGAUUCUUCUUAUUCCCUCCCAUUUCUCUUUACAGAGAAUUUUACACUUCCUUGCAGACACUGAAUUAUUGUGUUAAAUUAUUAUAACUUAAUAGCUUGUGAAAUAUACAAACAACAAGAUUAUGCCGACAUGGCUGUUAGAAGACAAGACAAAUUAGCAGACUCAUGCUCAUUUCUGUCAUUGAACAAUUCGUCUCAUUCCUUCCUCAAGGCGCUGCCGUUUUCCUGCUCUCCGUCCGUGGGGGUGUUUGUUUACACAUCUCUCGCAAGAAAAGCGCUUCUCUCUGGCUUCCCUCUGCCUCCCCCCCUCCUUCCUGCCCUCUCCCCUGCCUUCCCUUCCUCCUUCCUUCUCUCCCUCCCUCCUUUUCUCCCCGUUCCUUUCUUCCCUUCUCUCUGUCCUUCCCCCUUCCUUCCUUUACUGAUGUAACAACCUUGGUGUGCCGUGGCUAAGCCACACUCCACCCCUGACCUGCGGGGGAUGAGUCAAACGGUCAGACUUGCCUGGGCUUGUUCCACGCUCCCCUGGCUAGACAGGCGUCUACACAUUCUCAGUUAGGGGCUGGACAGGGGCAGCUGCUAGACAGGUCCUAUUCUGGGCCUCUCUGAGAAAAAGUGUCCCUGAAAAGAAAGGGAGCUCCCACUUCCAUGGACCCUUAGCCAUGCCAAGGGGCAGUACCGGCUUUCUGCUGGUGCUGAUGAGCUGUGGUGUGAACUCACGAAGGUCAGCUGAUUCACGGGCCCUGGAUCUCUGCUCUCCUUCCGCUAAGUGGGACUCGGGCCAGCCUGCCAUGAAGGAGGUAGCUGCUGCAGCUUUCAGGAAGGAACACCAGGUGUCAACCCCACCGGGUGGCCAACCCCACCUGGCUAGGACCCAGUCCCUGGUGGCUGCUCUCCCGAGAGGCGGGCAGGGCUGGGGCUAGGGGCUGUCCAGGAGUGUUCUGGACUGUCCCUUCGCCACAAUUCCCACAGGCUGCUCAGGACCGAGGCUGAGACGGGCGACCAGGACGGGAUUGUAUGGCUGCAGGAGGCUACACAGUCCCAGGAGGCUGCUUCUAAGAGGCCCACGUGGCCUGCAUGGGGAUGCGCCUGGCUGUCCAGCAUGUGGUCAUUUGAAUUGUACAUGUUUCACUGGGAUGCCUACAGAAAAGUAGACAGAAGAUGUGGAAAAAGUUUUUGAAAUGUUGCAAACUUAGCUACUUUUAAAAUAAAAAAAAUAGCUUUAUAAUUAUAAAAGCAAUAUGUAAAUCUUAAAAUAAUUUGCUACAUUCUAGUAAGCAUCUUAUGAUCUCUAUGUGCCCUAUAACAUUAUGUUGUAUAGUUUAAAUAUAUACAAUAAAAUCUAUUUUAAAAAAUAGCAGGCAAUUAAAUCUCAUUUUAAAAAGAGUCAGUUUAACUCCCUUCUAAUUUCUACCCCUCGUUUUCCCUCUGUGUGUGUGUAUGUGUGUAUGUCAUCUUCGUUAAAUGGCUCAAUGCAUUCCGAAUAUUUUUUCCGUUGUCUUCAUGAUAUAUUCAUGGGAAGGGGAGUAUGUGGCUUAUUGCUGUUAGUUUAUCAAUAGAGAAUGCUGGCCAAAUGUCUUUAAGAGUAAUGACGAUCUCAAUAGCGGUAAUGACAGCUACCACUUUCGGAGCUCCUCCUGCCUACCAGGCACCACUGGGGUCCCUCUCUGCAGCCCCUCACGCCAUCCUCCUAGUCACUUUCUGAGGUGUGUGUGGUCAUCCUCCCAUUUGCAGGAGGGCUCUGAAGCACAGGAAGGUUCGAUACUUACCCCAUGGCCGGGAUAAGAUGGGCCAGGGCCAGGCUGUGAACUAAGGCAGAGAAGGGGCUCUCCAGCACCUUUCCUGAGCCCUUGCCUCCUCUGCCUCUGCCCCAUGGCCAUCUGGUGGGUGGACACAGCUAAGCCAUGGCUAGAACCCAGCAUUCUCAUGACUGCUUUAACCAUAGAAAAUCACAAGUUGCAAGCAACGGGACACACAUUUACUUGUCUACAUUAGCACUUGUGAUGAAGAUAAUUCAUGCUAUUUUUUUCCCCAUUCGGAACGUACCUGUCCUUAGAAUAGUUAGAGAAGUUUUAUGAGGAUUGUGUAACUAGCAUUAACUUAGGUCACCUAAUUCUUGAUCAACCAAAUCGCAGGUCAAACAAAGGAGGCCUAUGCCUUCAUAGAAAGCAUCAGUUAAUGUCCAUUUAAAAACUGAUGCUGGCCGGGCCCGGUGGCUCAUGCCUGUAAUCCCAGCACUUUGGGAGGCCGAGGCGGGUGGAUCACGAGCUCAGGAGAUCGAGACCAUCCUGGCUAACACGGUGAAAACCCAUCUCUAUUAAAAAUACAAAAAUUAGCUGGGCGUGGUGGCACAUGCCUGUAAUCCCAGCUACUUGGGAGGCUGAAGCAGGGAGAAUUGCUUGAACUCUGGAGGUGAAGGUUACAGUGAACCAAGAUCGUGUCAUUUCACUACAGCCUGGGUGACAGAGCGAAAGUCUGUCUCAAAAAAAAAAAACAAACAAACUGAUGUUGCAUCUUCCAGUCUAAAAUAAAAAUACAUUGUUAACCAUUUUUAUGUUUACAAAACCUACAGUUUUAUAGUUCUAAAAGUAGUACAUGUUCAUUACUU